CCUACGGGAGGCAGCAGUAAGGAAUAUUGGUCAAUGGACGCAAGUCUGAACCAGCCAUGCCGCGUGAAGGAUGAAUGCCCUCUGGGUUGUAAACUUCUUUUAUAGGGGACGAAAAAGGGUCUUUUCAGAUCAACUGACGGUACCCUAGGAAUAAGCACCGGCUAACUCCGUGCCAGCAGCCGCGGUAAUACGGAGGGUGCAAGCGUUAUCCGGAUUUACUGGGUUUAAAGGGUGCGUAGGUGGGUUGGUAAGUCAGCGGUGAAAUCUUCGAGCUUAACUCGGAAACUGCCAUUGAUACUAUCAGCCUUGAAUAUCCUGGAGGUGAGCGGAAUAUGUCAUGUAGCGGUGAAAUGCUUAGAUAUGACAUAGAACACCAAUUGCGAAGGCAGCUCACUACGGGAUUAUUGACACUGAGGCACGAAAGCGUGGGGAUCAAACAGGAUUAGAUACCCUGGUAGUCCACGCCCUAAACGAUGGAUACUCGACAUUUGCGAUAUACAGUAAGUGUCUGAGCGAAAGCAUUAAGUAUCCCACCUGGGAAGUACGAUCGCAAGAUUGAAACUUAAAGAAGUAGUAGCGUGAGAGUAGCGACGACGACACACGGGGAGGUUAGG
rnacentral:rRNA from 1 species